rnacentral:lncRNA from 1 species
AGACAUUGACAGCUCAAUGGAGCAUUGCUUUGCAGCCCCUGUAAUGGUAAUCAUAUGAAAGCAUUUGCCCCACCCCAGGGUGACCGUGGGAACCUGGAGAAGUUAAGAAAUGAAUGUAAUAGACUGAACUGCAAGCUGUGGCAGUCUGGGUCUGGAAGGAGAAGAAGCUGUAGAAGAUAUUUUCCUUCAGUAGCUUCUCCACAGCCAUGGUGGGAGAUGGCAGAAACAGCCAGCAUCACUUCUGGGAGGUGGACCACAGAAGAGAAAAAGAAACAACAGACCCAAUAGGGUCUCGCAUGGUUCUGAACACAUAGUAAAUGCUGAAUUACUAUUUCCUAAAUUAUCAUAAAGCUGAGAAGAAUCAUGAUUCUCAAACUUCACCUUGGAAUUAAAAUGGAUUUCCUUGAGAAGCACAUAUGAGCCGCUUCUACCCCAGGUAAGCAGACCUCUCCUGUGAUGUUCUGGAUAUGCCUGUCUCAACAGAUUUCAGGGUGGCCGUCUUCUCUGCAAAUUCAGUUCUCUGAUGUGUCCAAGGCCUUCAUUAUCUCACUUCACAAGAAGUCAGGUGCCAAGCAGAUCCAAGCUCAUUCAGAGGCUGCACCAUGUCAACU